CAAUACCAGAGGACGCCAAGGAUUCGCAGAGACGCUGAAUCUUUAAUCUGGAAUGGAACACGAUCUGAUAACGCACAUGUGGUUCAAUUUUGGGGAAAGUAGGAUAUCGUCCUUCCUCAGAAUCUGACACCUAUCGGUGUCAGUCAUCCUUCUUAAAUGAGGAAUGAAAAUAAAAAGAAAAUAAAGCAAAAUGUAUAGAUUAAUAAAUCUGUGAUCCUGAAA